ACGCAAGUCUGAUCCAGCAAUGCCGCGUGCAGGACGAAGGCCUUCGGGUUGUAAACUGCUUUUGUACGGAACGAAACGGUCUGCUUUAAUACAGUGGGCUAAUGACGGUACCGUAAGAAUAAGCACCGGCUAACUACGUGCCAGCAGCCGCGGUAAUACGUAGGGUGCGAGCGUUAAUCGGAAUUACUGGGCGUAAAGCGUGCGCAGGCGGUUAUAUAAGUCAGAUGUGAAAUCCCCGGGCUCAACCUGGGACCUGCAUUUGAGACUGUAUAGCUAGAGUACGGUAGAGGGGGAUGGAAUUCCGCGUGUAGCAGUGAAAUGCGUAGAUAUGCGGAGGAACACCGAUGGCGAAGGCAAUCCCCUGGACCUGUACUGACGCUCAUGCACGAAAGCGUGGGGAGCAAACAGGAUUAGAUACCCUGGUAGUCCACGCCCUAAACGAUGUCAACUGGUUGUUGGGUCUUCACUGACUCAGUAACGAAGCUAACGCGUGAA
rnacentral:rRNA from 1 species